rnacentral:rRNA from 1 species
UACGGGGGGAGCAAGCGUUGUUCGGAUUUACUGGGCGUAAAGGGCGUGUAGGCGGCCACCGCAAGUCGGUUGUGAAAUCUCCGGGCUUAACCCGGAAAGGUCAACCGAUACUGCGGGGCUAGAGUGCAGAAGGGGCAACUGGAAUUCUCGGUGUAGCGGUGAAAUGCGUAGAUAUCAGGAAGAACACCGGUGGCGAAAGCGCUCUGCUAGGCCGCAACUGACACUGAGGGACGAAAGCUAGGGGAGCGAAUGGG